AUGAAGAGUGACAGUGGGAAACUGCGACCGGAUAUUCAAGAACGGGGAACUCUUUUGGGAAUAGUGGCGGAGAGAAAAGCUCAGGCAGAACGUACGGGCUCUUUUCACCCUGCCGUCGUUGCUUGGAUAGCUACGUCUUGUUGGAAACGAAGGAACUGGAAAUCAUGCAGCCGGCCGGAGCGGAGGAGGGCAACGUCGUCGAUCCAAAGAAGAAGAAGAAGAAGAAGAAGAAUCGCGAUUCCCCUUUCUCCUGCGGUGGCGGUGGCGGUGGCGGCGCGGUCCAUGAUCCAUGAUUCAGAAGCAGAAUCGGGUUCUCCUUCCAAGUUUUGGUUUACCCGCCUUCCGAUCGCUUUAAAGUUUAAACCCUGGUGCAGGUGCAGCCACAGUGGGCGCGCGUCGGCAUCACGGAUUCCGCAUCCGCACCGCGGUGGCUCGGUCCGGCGAUCGCGCGGCCCGGUCCAGAUGAUGCCGUUGGGGGCCGGGGACACGCCGGGCAACGGCAUGGCAGGCAAGACACACCACGCGCGCGCGCACGAGGAGGCCCAUCGCCCGUCGCCGGUCGGCCAGGGAAGGGUUAUCGAUGGAUAG
rnacentral:rRNA from 1 species